rnacentral:rRNA from 1 species
UACCAGCACCCCGAGUGGUCGGGACGUUUAUUGGGCCUAAAGCAUCCGUAGCCGGUUCUACAGGUCUUCCGUUAAAUCCACCUGCUUAACAGAUGGGCUGCGGAAGAUACUAUGGAGCUAGGAGGCGGGAGAGGCAAGCGGUACUCGAUGGGUAGGGGUAAAAUCCGUUGAUCCAUUGAAGACCACCAGUGGCGAAGGCGGCUUGCCAGAACGCGCUCGACGGUGAGGGAUGAAAGCUGGGGGAGCAAACAGG